GUUUUGCUCUGUUGCCCAGGAUAGAGUACAAUGGCGUGAUCUCAGCUCAACGCAAGCUCCGCCUCCUGGGUUCACGCCAUUCUCCUGCCUCAGCCUUCCGAGUAGCUGGGACUACAGGCACUCGCCACCACGCCCAGCUGAUUUUUUGUAUUUUUAGUAGAGACGGGGUUUCACCAUGUUAGCCAGGAUGGUCUUGAUCUCCUGACCUUGUGAUCCGCCCAACUCGGCCUCCCAAAGUGCUGGGAUUACAGACGUGAGCCACCGCACCCUGCGACUUUGAAAUAAUUCUAUGUAGAUAUUGGCUGUCAGUCGGCUAGAACAAUUGAUCAGGAAACAUCUCUGUCUUCACAAAUUACCUGAUAUGUUGAGUAAUGUGAGUAUAACACGAAUUUCAUAUUUGUUUAUGUUCAGUUUCAACCCUAAGAAACACUAAGUGAACAGAAGAAAUUGCACAUAACUGAAGAGUCUGGUAGGAAAACAGAAAAUGCGCGCACACACCUCAAAUACCAAGUCACACUGUUUCCUCUGCUUUAAAACUUAACAUUAGAUUUCCGACAACCCUCUCUCCACCACUGCAUACUAACUCUGGAAAUUUAGAUUCCCUUGCCCAAUUCCACAAGCAACCUUUGGAUCUUCUGCAAGGAGAGAAGUGGUUUUCGCCAUUUUGGUCA
rnacentral:lncRNA from 1 species